rnacentral:tRNA from 1 species
GCCUUCGUGGUGUAACGGUCAACACACUCCGCGCGUACUCGAGAGGACCGAGGUUAGAGUCCCAGCGAGGGCA